AGAGUUUGAUCAUGGCUCAGAUUGAACGCUGGCGGAAUGCUUUACACAUGCAAGUCGAACGGCAGCACGGGGGCAACCCUGGUGGCGAGUGGCGAACGGGUGAGUAAUGUAUCGGAACGUACCCCGUCGUGGGGGAUAACUCUCCGAAAGGAGAGCUAAUACCGCAUACGACCUGAGGGUGAAAGCGGGGGACCUGCAAGGGCCUCGCGCGAUGGGAGCGGCCGAUAUCGGAUUAGCUAGUUGGUGAGGUAAAGGCUCACCAAGGCGACGAUCCGUAGCGGGUCUGAGAGGACGACCCGCCACACUGGAACUGAGACACGGUCCAGACUCCUACGGGAGGCAGCAGUGGGGAAUUUUGGACAAUGGGGGCAACCCUGAUCCAGCCAUUCCGCGUGAGUGAAGAAGGCCUUCGGGUUGUAAAGCUCUUUCAGCAGGAACGAAACGGCAGGCUUUAAUACGGUCUGCUAAUGACGGUACCUGCAGAAGAAGCACCGGCUAACUACGUGCCAGCAGCCGCGGUAAUACGUAGGGUGCGAGCGUUAAUCGGAAUUACUGGGCGUAAAGCGUGCGCAGGCGGCGACAUAAGACAGAUGUGAAAUCCCCGGGCUCAACCUGGGAACUGCGUUUGUGACUGUGUUGCUAGAGUGUAGCAGAGGGGGGUGGAAUUCCACGUGUAGCAGUGAAAUGCGUAGAGAUGUGGAGGAACACCGAUGGCGAAGGCAGCCCCCUGGGUUAACACUGACGCUCAUGCACGAAAGCGUGGGGAGCAAACAGGAUUAGAUACCCUGGUAGUCCACGCCCUAAACGAU
rnacentral:rRNA from 1 species